rnacentral:lncRNA from 1 species
GUGGCUUCGCGACUGCGGAAGGUUGCCCGGGCUGGCGCCGCUGGGCAGAGCCGGUGCGACGUUUCCCUUUCCAGCUUUGUUCUUCCGGCCCUGCUGUCUGCCUCCCCGGCUGAUUGGAUUCGUUACUGCUUUGCAACGCGCACCUAACUCCAGGCUGGAAUGCAAUAGCGUGGUCUUGGCUCACUGCAACCUCCGCCUCCCGGGUUCAAGCAAUUCUCCUGCCUCAGCCUCCUAAGUAGCUGGGACUACAGCUUGAGGUCCUACCUGGUGUCCUCCAUGAGAAUCAUACAAGCCCCGCUACAGACAACAGAAUUGGAAGGUCCUGAGAGCUACCAGAAGCAUCUUCAGUUUUCAUAUGAAAAACUUAAGCCCAGGAGUGAUUUGUGCAGCCAAGGACACACAGCAAGUUAGUGGCUGCACCAGAAAUAGUACUCACUGCCUCAGACAGUCCCUCCCACAGUCUACUCUGUCUCCACCCCAAGGUCUGGUUCUGAAUCAUUCAGUUGUCAGUUGUCUCCUUUUUUUUUUUUUUUUUUGGAGACAGGGUCUCUCUCUGUGGCCCAGGCUGAAGUGCAGUGGUGUGAUUACAGCUCAUGUAGCCUGGACCUCCCAAGCUCAAGCAAUCCUCCUGCCUCUGCCUCCCAAGUAGCUGGGACCACAGGUGGGCAGCACCACACCUGGCUAAUUUUUUAAAUUUUUUUUUAUAGAGACAGGGUCUUACCAUUUGCCCCAGCUGGUCUCAAACCCCUGGGCUCAAGCAAGCCUCCUGCCUUGGCCUCCCAAAGUGCUGGGAUUACAGGUGUGAGCCACCACACCCGGCCUUAUCUCCUAACAUUUUGAUAGCACAAAAUUUUGAAAACCCACUUCUGUGUACGUUAUGAAGCAUAGAAAAUUAAACAGUAUGCACCAAAAAAAAAUAAAAAAAAAAAAAAAAAAA